rnacentral:rRNA from 1 species
CUCGUAGGUGGCCAACUAAGUCAGACGUGAAAUCCCUCGGCUUAACCGGGGAACUGCGUCUGAUACUGGAUGGCUUGAGUUUGGGAGAGGGACGCGGAAUUCCAGGUGUAGCGGUGAAAUGCGUAGAUAUCGGGAGGAACACCUGUGGCGAAGGCGGCCCCCUGGUUGGAUACUGACGCUGAGACGCGAAAGCGUGGGGAGCAAACA